rnacentral:rRNA from 1 species
AGAUGCCUACGGGGGGCAGCAGUGAGGAAUAUUGGUCAAUGGCCGGAAGGCUGAACCAGCCAAGUCGCGUGAGGGAAUAAGGCCCUAUGGGUCGUAAACCUCUUUUGUCAGGGAGCAAAGGCGUCCACGAGUGGACGAAAGGAGAGUACCUGAAGAAAAAGCAUCGGCUAACUCCGUGCCAGCAGCCGCGGUAAUACGUAGGGGGCAAGUGUUAUCCGGAUUUACUGGGUGUAAAGGGGGCGCAGACGGCGAUGCAAGCCAGGAGUGAAAGCCCGGGGCCCAACCCCGGGACUGCUCUUGGAACG